rnacentral:misc_RNA from 1 species
CACCACCAGGCCUUCUCCACAUAUAGAUGUCCAUCACGCACCACUCUCCCUCCUCGCUUCGUUUCUGAAGUUGCCUUGGCGGCGUGUUGCGUGUUCGCUCAAGAGCGCAUCCUUCGCGCACACAAAACAGUCAACGAGAGGCCCGCACAUAUAGAAACCGAUAGGCAUGCACAAGUAUACGCUGGAGGCCCCAUCGCACGUGGUCAGCAGUGCCAUUACUCCUCAUUUAGCGGUCGUUGCGGCUAGCGCACCUUUUCGACUCCACCGCGACAGAUGUCGAGGGCACCGUCGAAGAUGGGAGGGAGGGGGGCGGCUCUGGGCUCACUUGGUAGUGUUUGAUCUUGCGCUCCUCAACGGGGAGCCGCUGCUGCAGGUUGCCCUGACGCAUCGUCGGCGGCGGCAGCGGCGGUAGGUGCUGAUCGCGCAGUUUACCCACCUCAAGGUUAUCACCGCCGAAGCGGUUGGCAUCACGGCGGCGAUCAUGGCCGAGCUGGAGAAGGCCGUGGAGGCGAAGCGUGAGGACGUUCUUGUGCAAACGGCACAUAUCCCGUGCGCGGGCCAGCCGAGCGCCAGCUUGCAUGGAUGAAACCGAAGCCGGGCCACCUCCCCGCUUUGGCGGGCUCGCUCGACUUGGUGGUCAUAGGCGGCCACGAUUGCGCGACGUUUGGCCGCUUGAACUUGCACGACUUUGUUGCUGACGAGUCCACUGCGUGGGAGAGCCGACGACGAUAGGGACGUGGAACGGGCUGUCUCCCAAGACGUAUGCAGGGUUGAGACCGAGCACGUGAGGAAGGGCCUCGCUGCUCUGCAAGCCGCCCCCGACCUGCGUUGGGAGCGCAUGCUCACUAAGCAGACCGUCUCACCCUGGCUGGGCGAGUGGCUGCCGACAGAGACGGAGCUAGCGCCCGACGUGUACGUGCACCCCCGGCAUUUGGUGGUGGCCGAAGUUUUUGAGUACGCCUUCACGGAUUCAUUGCGUUAUUGCACUGGCCUCUCCCUCCGCUUUCUGCUGAUGCUCUGCCUGCGGCGAACAAAAGAGUCAUAGAAACCACCUACGUGUCGCACCCGGUUGCCAUACUGGAGGCCUUUCAGCACAUGCCGCACAGGUGUCUCGCGGAGACGCGAGACGAGCUUCUUGCGGUAGAGUUUAUGAAGCGUAAACGCCUCCGUGAAAUAUACACGCCGACAGCAGCAUCAGUAGCGACAAGCCCGGCCUCCGCGCCGGCAUCGGGACAGACACCGUCAACUAUCGGCGAUGGCGAGAGCUCGAUGUCUGGGCCUGCCGCGAUGGCCUUGCUCGUCGCCGCCGCGCAGGUGUAGUCGCAGUCGUUUGCGGCUGGGUUCUCCGGUCCCCUGAGGAGGAUGCGAGGCGUUCGGCCAGAGGAGGUGGUGAGCUGCUGGCUCAGCGGCUUCGAGUUUGGCGCUUACUACGUCGCCUUUGGUAGCGUCGAGGCAUGGCGGCGUUCGGUGACGGGGUGCAGCAGAGGUAAGUGACGGCGACCGUAGCGCGGCUGCGAUGUCGUUGCUGAGCGACCGGGCAGUCGUGGAGCACCAGCUGCAGCGGCAAGGAGGCGAAGUCCUGGCGAACCCGACUCGUAUCAGGCCGCUGCUUAUCUCCAACAGCGUUAGCGAAACGAAGUUGGUCAACCGGGUUCAGCUCUGUGAGAGCAAGACGGCUUAUGUGAGUGCCAAGUGUGCAUCUGCGGGCGUAGCACACUCUCAGUGGCUGGUGGACUGCGUAGAGGCAGUCGCGGUGCUGCUGUGGACGCCGAGGCACAUGCUCUACGGCAGCCGCUCCUGCAAGACGAAGAUGCCUGGCACGACCCUCUGCAUGGCGAUGAGCCAACGCCGCUCCCUCCUCAUUGUCGCGCGCGUCCACCAGAGGGAGGCACAAGGGCGUGCACCUUCAGAUGCUGAGAGUAAUCCAGUGGUCGUCCUUGCGCGUCGAGUUCACGCUUGCCGGCACGAACUUGGGCUGGACGGUGUCUCUGGGCGGCCAGCGGUAUCGAAGAUGUUCGCCGCUAUUGCCUUGGCCAAGGGCAGCGCACAAGCUCUCCUGAGUGUCAGUCACGAACGGCGGCUCAUGUGUCCGCCUCGCCCACCUCACGUGCCGCAUCUCUGCAAGAAGCAGCGGCGGCGUUUCUCAGCGCCAGUCCAUGCUCCCCCGUGCUGCGGGCAGCGAAGACGGUGCUGCAGGUGACUGCCACGUGUGCGAGCGCGGAGGCCCCACCUCCAUGGGUGAAGCGCCAGCCUGCGGUGGCGGAGAUGCCGUGCCGCCACGUGCCGUGCUUUGCCUCACAGACGGUGCCCUCGUAGGACAGACAGGUGGCAUCUAACACCUGUGCACCGACGACAGAGUCACGUGGACGGCAGAGCAAGUGGUGCAAGCAUGAUCGUGCACAGCGGAGUGCGAUGCGUGCGUGGCAAUAGGCGUGGCAGAUGCAACGAGCGCUGUCGACAACAGUGGGGCGGUGGUGGUCAGCCGCGCACACGCGCUAACUGCAACGCGUUGAUGCGCAAGCGACGCAUGCUGGUAGCAUGGGGGGUCAAGCGAAAGGGGCGGAAGUGUUGAAGGUCACCAUGUCGAGCCACCCACCUGCGUACCUCCAUCCCACCCCCUCCUUUCAGUGUGCACACAUCACCGCCCUCGCGUUGCGCCGACGGAUGGCGUGAGCGAAUACGGAAAGAGAAGAGGUCAUACUGCUCACAGAAAGAACGUGCCAAGACGGGGUCUGCUCAACGUUCACCGAGCAAGUGAUCCGGGGCGUGAUCAGCGAAACGAGGCACCGUCGAGGUAUGCCGCUGACGUGUAAGAGGGGAAGUGGGCGCGCCCAGAGCGAGAGAGAGAGAGAGAGAGAAGGCCGAACGCGCACGCGCAGGGCGCCGUGGCCGCUCAUUCGCCGCGCCCUCCUCUUCGCUUUGCCGUUGCGACACUGUUCUUCAAUUCCUUUUUGCUUCACUUUCUCUCUCGCACGCACACACACCACCCUUCCCCAUCAUUCUCUGGUCGACCUAUCACGCCGGCGUGGCCGCUGCCCCUCGCUGCGUUCGCCACGACGUCUGUCUCGCAUGCGCACCUCACUGCAGCCGUCACAGUAUCAAAACUCGCUUUAACUGCACCUCUUCUCUUCCGUUUUCUUCGGCGUCUUGUGUUUCCCAUCCACACUCCACUCUAG